UAUUCCAUAUUAUUCUCUCGUGCAUCGUCCCAUUCAUUUCCUCUCCGCCGCCAUUAUUCUCAUCUCAGCGGUCGUGAGACGCGGAUCUUGUGCCGUUAGCCGUUGUCCGUUUGUCUCGUUGCUCGUUGCGGCAGCGUGUGCGUGUUUGAGGCUAAAACAUAAAUAAGGAUAACUAUCCGCCCCACUACCCGACAUCCGACUAUGGGCGAUUAUCCCGAACAGUGAUAGAGCUUUCGUGAGAACGAUCCUGAACGUCCUGUGCGCGGGUGUGUCCUUUCGUGAAAACCGCAGCCGUGAAGUGAAUAUCGGCAGAAACAAGCAAGGUGGUGUGCACAUAGUUCCGCCGUCGCUCCCGUUCUCGCUUGUGGGCUGCUGCGUGUUGUGUGCGCGGAAUCGUCACGCAUAGCCUACUCGACCCCACUACACGACCCCUCAAUCGCCAAGGCGCGGACGUGCGUUGCUGGAGAUGUCUGCUGGCGCUAAGGUGGAGUGAGGCGUAAAAGUGAAAAAGCUCCCUUCCUCUCGCCUUUCCCUCUUCCGCGCGAGCGCGUGUGUGUCCACCAUCCCGCGCCGAGUGUGUGUGUGUCAGACGGGGAGCCGGAAAUCGAUUUGCCUGGAUUGCAAUCUCAGCGCAAACACACGUCGUCUCCGUGUCCGUAGCAGCGCAGCGAAUGCAACGCUCAGCGCGACGCUCGCACUUCUCGUAAACCACUCUCGGCCCCGGCCGUCUCCUUCCUCCGUCCAUUCUUCCCUCCCUUCGCGUGAAACCCGGAUGAAUGAGUGCGAUUGUGUGUGACCCCGAGAGGGAACAGCAGCAGCAGCAGCAGCAGCGGUGAAUGUGGUGUGUGAUGUGUGCCCGCCGUGUGUAAGCGUAAACGCGUAAAGGAACGCGUGCGUUCGCAUCAUCCAGGCCUACUGUGCCAGCAAAUCCUCAUCCUACUAGGCCUACUGUGUGCUGAGAAGGAUUCCAUCCGAGACCGAGAGUCCUUUUCCGGGGCGAAACAAGCGAACCCAAGCCAAACCUGACUCCAGUAGUCUGUGCGUCGCGUCGUCCUCCAGCAGCAACACCACCACCACUACCACCACAACCAGCGAACCGGCGGAACAGAUAACAACGACCGGCACAAAUCGACCAGAACCAGAACCACGUAAGAUCAUCACCAGUAGCGAUGGAACCGAUGGAGGCACGAGUGGCGAUGCUGCAGGACCUGAAAAUCCAAUCGUUCGAUACGAUCCGGUUCGCCUCCUACCGGACGGCCUGCAAGCUGCGCUACGUUCAAAAGUCCACCAACCUGCAUCUGGUCGAUAUCUGGAACGUGAUUGAGGCAUUUCGUGAGAAUGGGCUGAACACACUCGAGCCACAGAACGAAGUAAGCGUGAGCCGGUUGGAAACGCUCGUCUCGUCCCUGUACCACAACCUCAACAAGCGCCUGCCACCAAACCAGCAGGUGCACGUCGACUCAAAGGCGAGUCUGCUGCUAAAUUGGCUACUGGCGGCCUAUUCCGGUGACAACUCGGGCAAGAUACGCGUUUUCUCCAUCAAGGUGGCACUCGCGAUCAUGUGCGCCGGCAAAAUGGUCGACAAGUUACGAUACGUGUUCUCACAGGUUUCGGACGGUGCCGGUCAGCUGAUACACUGGAAGCUGGGGGAUUUUCUGCGCGAGGUGCUCGCCCUACCGGCGGCCGUCUUCGAGUCACCGACCUUCUUCUACAAGGAGGGCCUCGAGUCGGAGAUCUUCCCAGUGGAGAACAAAAUCACGGUGAACGACUUUAUGGCCGGUUUCAUGACCGAACCGGGGCCCGCCUGUCUCGUCUGGAUGCCGCUGCUGCACCGGCUCGCCACGGUCGAAACGGUCGUCCAUCCGACCGUCUGCUCCGUCUGUAUGCGCGAAAACUUUACCGGUUUCCGGUAUCGGUGCCAGCGGUGCCACGGUUACCAGCUGUGUCAGGAUUGUUUCUGGCAGGGGCGCGUCUCACUUAACCAUCAGAACGAUCACGAGGUGAAGGAGUACUCGAGCUACAAGAGCCCCAGCAAACAGAUCGGCCACUCGCUGCGCAAGAGCUUCCGGUGUGUACCGGACAAACCGACGCAAGCGUUGCCCCGGUUUCCGGAGCUACCCGAGAAGACGCUUAACCUGUCGCACAUCGUGCCACCGUCACCGCUCCCCUCGCACAACGGGUUCCCCGAUGGUGGCAUCCCGGGAUUGUACGAGCGAAGCAGUACGCUGGACUCAAGGGCCACCGGACUCUCGCUGGAUAGCAAUGGGACGUCGGGGACGCGCGGUGGUGCCGUCAACUCGAACGAUGAAGAGCACAGACUGAUCGCCCGAUAUGCGGCACGACUCGCGCAAGAAAGCCGAACGCCCGGUGGUUCAGCACCCGAUCCGGUGCAGAUAGGGCUGGACAGUUCACGGGCACAGCGUGAACUGAUCAUGCAGCUCGAAUCGAAAAAUAAGGAAAUUAUGCGCGAAAUUCAGAAGCUGCGGCGGCAACAAGAAGCGGAACAGGUGGCCCCCGAGAGUCCGGCUCUAAUGAACGAGCUGCGGGCCCUCCGGCAACGUAAGGGUGAGCUCGAGGGUCAUCUCGGUGCACUACAGGACUCCCGGCGGCAGCUGAUGGCCCAGCUCGAGGGUUUGAUGCGAAUGCUAAAGAACCACCAGACGCAAAGCCCUCGCUCGACACCCAACUCUAGUCCACGGUCGGGCAAAAGUCCACCGUUACCACAAGGUCCACCGAUGCCCAACCAGGGUCGGCAGGGACCGAUGAAUGCCGGUGGUUCCGGAAUGCCUCCGAAUGUACCGCCCGGUAUGCUGCCGCCCGGGGUCAGCAUGCACGGUCCGGAUGCUCACAUGAUGGUCGGUGGCGUGGGGGGACCGAUGGAUAUGCGAGGAGGUUAUGCCCCGAAUGGCAACAACAGUUCGUCUCCACCGGACACAACCCCCUUCUUGAAGGAGCGCAGAGUUUAGGGUGCUUUGGCAUGGAAACGAUCCUAGCUUCUCAGCUUCCUGAUACGCCAGCUACACGCUCCCGAUUCCCGCGCAUUGCCGCGUGAGUCCAUCCUGUGUUGUCCGGUCGGCUGACAGACGCUGGUGACUGGACCAUCGUGCUUCCACAGACUACUUCCACGCUUAAAGCGAGCCCCACCGAUCGUGUGUACCACCGAGUUCCCACCCCUCACAGGGAGUCCAGCAGACUGUUUGUUGCUUUCCGUUUCCAUUUGCGGCCAGGCAGUGUACAAAACAGGUUCCGUAUCCGUUAUCCAAUCCAAAUGAAUUCUAAAUGAGGCUUUAAUGACAAUUUCGCUAGCUUAUACGCAGUUCCCGCAAUAUAUAGCCGAUAGUCGAUAGUAACCGUGUUGACAACAGACACUAACAACCCUAACGGCGCCCCCGCCCAAAAAUAGGCAUCGAAAAGAGUGCUUUAAAGACAUGAAACAGAAUCCUUGCCAAAGCUACUAAACUAGUUCAUGCAACAAAGUUCAACAUGAUAUAACAACGAAAUCGCUCACACAUCCGUACUCAACGCACACACGUGCUACACACACGCAAAUAAGCACACGCUCCCUACCUUCUGUUGCUCCCUCUAAUAACCCCUUACUAAACUAAACGAACUAAUGUAUAUACUUUGCUUUUUGAGUUGCGGAAACCCUCCCUGAAAAACGACUUUGUUUGGUUUUGUAUUUUGAAACGAUUCACUAACGGUCCAGCCCCUCCCCCUCCAGCGGCAUGCUUCAACAUAGCAUUAUCCGUUCACUUCGCAUCGUAAGGAAAGUGUGAUAAAAGGUGAUCGCGAUCCUCGCACACAUGAAUGUUGUGGCGAAGCUAAACACAACAAAGUACAAACAGGGUGGGGAAAGAGCUAUAAUAGCGAGAAGAAGAUUUUGAGCUUUUGAAUUUUGUAAAUGCAGUUCACGCCCCGGCAAUGCUCGAUCCGCCUUCUACCUUGCAACCCGCCCUUUACCACCCUUUAAACACACACGUCCUUGCCCAACUCCACACUAUUGCUGCGUCCCACAAGCAACACAAGAAACGCUCCUCAACAUAGACCUUCGAUCGCCCCCACCGGGUGAUUGAUGAUCGUUUUUGAUUCUUUUUCCGCAUGUCAAUUACAAUCUUCCACGCAACACGCUCAUCAUCAUGAUCAUCAUCAACUACAUCAACUUCAUCUACUACUACUUCACACCAAUGGCUGAUCAUCAUUAAACACCUACCGAUGUACAACACACUCCGAUCGUUUUCACCGAUCUUCGCAACUGUCAACUGUGCAACUCCAUCAUCUACUAUCUUGAUAAUCAACACUGUAAUACACACACGGACACAUACACCCCCAAACGCCGUACCAAACGAUGAAAAACCAAAAUGUACUAACUACAAUCACUCCCAACACGCCCCAUCUCCCACAAAACACUCUGCAACACACACACACAAUCUGUAUCCUACUACUGUAUGCCUGCCACUCCAAUAUGUGCGCCGGCCUGCGGGGGGCUUGGCUUGUGCGGGGGAAUGCGAAAUGUGGUUGUGAACAGUAUUCUUUCCCCACUACGAUGGACAUCUGCCGCCCGGUGUCGUGCACAAGCCGCCGAUGCGCUACUUUUCAGAGGGUUCAGACGACUCAGAUAGUAUCCCGUCACAGCAUGCCAUGCGCCACUCGCUAGAUUUCGACGAAAUGCACA